AUGGCUGCACCGAACAAGGUACUCUUCCUAAUCAUCAUCCUAGCUACAGCCUCCUCUAGCGUGAGUAGUGUAACAUUCAACCGGAGCUGCAUCCCGGCCGAGAGGGCUGCGCUGCUCUCCUUCAAGGCUGGCAUCACAGGCGACCCGGACAAUCGCCUCGUCUCAUGGCAGCAAGGUGCGCGCGACUGCUGCCGGUGGAGCGGCGUCACCUGCAACAGCCGGACAGGCCACGUCGUGAAGCUCCACCUCCGCAACGAGUAUCUAUUUCCAUUUCCAGAAGAGGAUUAUAUAUCUGGUGCCAUCGACCCUGAAGACCACUCGCUUCGCGGGCAGGUAUCUUCUUCAUUGCUUGGUCUCUCACAUCUCAAGCAUCUAGACCUAAGUGGAAAUAUUGUCCUCGGAGCUGGAAUGGCUAUGCCGGGAUUUCUGGGCUCUCUUCAGAGUUUGACUUAUCUCAACCUCUCCUAA
rnacentral:rRNA from 1 species